rnacentral:rRNA from 1 species
GACGAACGCUGGCGGCGUGCUUAACACAUGCAAGUCGAACGGUAAGGCCCUUCGGGGUACACGAGUGGCGAACGGGUGAGUAACACGUGGGUGAUCUGCCCUGCACUUCGGGAUAAGCCUGGGAAACUGGGUCUAAUACCGGAUAGGACCACUGCCUGCAUGGGUGGUGGUGGAAAGCUUUUGCAGUGUGGGAUGGGCCCGCGGCCUAUCAGCUUGUUGGUGGGGUGAUGGCCUACCAAGGCGACGACGGGUAGCCGGCCUGAGAGGGUGACCGGCCACACUGGGACUGAGAUACGGCCCAGACUCCUACGGGAGGCAGCAGUGGGGAAUAUUGCACAAUGGGCGCAAGCCUGAUGCAGCAACGCCGCGUGAGGGAUGACGGCCUUCGGGUUGUAAACCUCUUUUAGUAGGGAAGAAGCGAAAGUGACGGUACCUGCAGAAAAAGCACCGGCUAACUACGUGCCAGCAGCCGCAGUAA